AAAAGUGAAGAAAUCAAGGAAACAAGCUAGGUGGUGAGACGUCCGGAAAAGGCAAAGGAAUUACGCCUGAGGACUAUUAGUCAGAGUUCACCCGGAAUCCGGAUUUUCGACACCUAUCAGGUGACUGUUGGACCCUAGAUCGAGGAGUC
rnacentral:sRNA from 10 species